UCAGGAUGAACGCUAGCGACAGGCCUAACACAUGCAAGUCGAGGGGCAGCACAAGGAGCAAUCUGAGGUGGCGACCGGCGCACGGGUGAGUAACACGUAUGCAACCUGCCUGUAAGCGGGGAAUAACCCGUUGAAAGACGGACUAAUACCGCAUAAUACUAAAUUACUGCAUGGUAAUUUAUUUAAACAUUUAUGGCUUACAGAUGGGCAUGCGCAUGAUUAGCUAGUUGGAGAGGUAACGGCUCCCCAAGGCAACGAUCAUUAGGGGUUCUGAGAGGAAGGUCCCCCCACACUGGUACUGAGACACGGACCAGACUCCUACGGGAGGCAGCAGUGAGGAAUAUUGGUCAAUGGACGAGAGUCUGAACCAGCCAAGUCGCGUGCAGGAAGAAUUGUCCUAUGGAUUGUAAACUGCUUUUGCAGGGGAAUAAAGUGCAUCACGUGUGAUGUUUUGUAUGUACUCUGCGAAUAAGGAUCGGCUAACUCCGUGCCAGCCGCGGC
rnacentral:rRNA from 1 species